rnacentral:rRNA from 1 species
UACAGAGGGGGCAAGCGUUGUUCGGAAUUACUGGGCGUAAAGGGCUUGUAGGUGGCCAACUAAGUCAGACGUGAAAUCCCUCGGCUUAACCGGGGAACUGCGUCUGAUACUGGAUGGCUGGAGUGUGGGAGAGGGAUGCGGAAUUCCAGGUGUAGCGGUGAAAUGCGUAGAUAUCUGGAGGAACACCGGUGGCGAAGGCGGCAUCCUGGACCAACACUGACGCUGAUGAGCGAAAGCCAGGGGAGCAAACAGG